GAUGAACGCUAGCGGCAGGCUUAACACAUGCAAGUCGAGGGGUAUAGCACUUCGGUGCUAGAGACCGGCGCACGGGUGCGUAACGCGUAUGCAAUCUACCUUUUACAGAGGGAUAGCCCAGAGAAAUUUGGAUUAAUACCUCAUAGUAUUAUGAAAUGGCAUCAUUUUAUAAUUAAAAGUUACACAACGGUAAAAAGGAA
rnacentral:rRNA from 1 species